GGACCACAGGUGACUGUGGGUAACUGAAACCUCUGAGAGCAAAAUCAAAACCGCAGGUAAGAGGGAACUGCUGCAGUUGUGUGCCUAGCAUCGUGCUCAGAGCCCCAGCGAAGGUGGAAGGAGUACGUAAGGCACUUCCAUGCCUGACAGACGACGUUUCACCUCCUGUGGCCACCAUGCGCAGGUACAGCAAAAUUCAUGGGCCCCAUGUAAGUUCAGAAGAAAGAGUUCGUGCAGCUUGCCAAUCCUUAUAAAUCAGGCCACAACACAACUAAAUCAUGACUUUUUCUACAAGAGCACAGAAGAACUUUUAAUCAGUCCAUACUUCAUAGAAACUCAUAGGAUGUUAGUGAUUGCUGUCAGCUACCAGUGCAAUGGGAGGUCAACCUGAGAUGUCUCAAUAUUUUAUUCUGCUCUGGAAUUUGUUCCAACAAUUGUCUCUCCAGGUCCUGCCACAUCUGCUGUAGUUAUCUGAGACCCUGGCCUGGACCUCAGAGGACAUUCUGCAUUACCUCAACCCAAGAGAAAAGAUAAUUAUCACUCUGGUGCUCCU